rnacentral:lncRNA from 1 species
CGCUUAGAAGGUGGCAAUGGGAAUAUACCUCCGUAGCUAUUUAUCUUUAUCAUUGAGUAGUCGAAUAAAUGCGUGCUCUGAUCUGUAACACUUGGGGUUGGGGUUAAACGUUGAAUGUCUUUAUUUUAUGACGUUAAAGAACCAUGACUUUUUAUGUUAUUUAUCAACAUAUGUCGAUGAAGAAUUUGAUGUCUUUGAAUUAUGAAGUUUUAUUUUAAGCAUUUUCUAUUGUUAAGUAC